rnacentral:rRNA from 1 species
GACGUAGGGCGCGAGCGUUGUCCGGAUUUAUUGGGCGUAAAGAGCUCGUAGGCGGCUUGUCGCGUCGAAUGUGAAAACCCGAGGCUCAACUUCGGGCUUGCAUUCGAUACGGGCAGGCUAGAGUUCGGUAGGGGAGACUGGAAUUCCUGGUGUAGCGGUGAAAUGCGCAGAUAUCAGGAGGAACACCGGUGGCGAAGGCGGGUCUCUGGGCCGAUACUGACGCUGAGGAGCGAAAGCGUGGGGAGCGAACAGGAUUAGAAACCCCCGUAGUCC